rnacentral:tRNA from 1 species
UGGGACAUAGCUCAGACGGUAGAGCACUCGGCUUAUAUCCGAGCGGUCGUCGGUUCGAUUCCGACUGUCCCGA